GAUGAACGCUGGCGGCGUGCCUAAUACAUGCAAGUCGAGCGAACGGACGAGAAGCUUGCUUCUCUGAUGUUAGCGGCGGACGGGUGAGUAACACGUGGAUAACCUACCUAUCAGACUGGGAUAACUUCGGGAAACCGUAGCUAAUACCGGAUAAUAUUUUGAACCGCAUGGUUCAAAAGUGAAAGACGGUCUUGCUGUCACUUAUAGAUGGAUCCGCGCUGCAUUAGCUAGUUGGUAAGGUAACGGCUUACCAAGGCAACGAUGCAUAGCCGACCUGAGAGGGUGAUCGGCCACACUGGAACUGAGACACGGUCCAGACUCCUACGGGAGGCAGCAGUAGGGAAUCUUCCGCAAUGGGCGAAAGCCUGACGGAGCAACGCCGCGUGAGUGAUGAAGGUCUUCGGAGCGUAAAACUCUGUUAUUAGGGAAGAACAUAUGUGUAAGUAACUGUGCACAUCUUGACGGUACCUAAUCAGAAAGCCACGGCUAACUACGUG
rnacentral:rRNA from 1 species